rnacentral:rRNA from 1 species
AUUGAACGCUGGCGGCAUGCCUAACACAUGCAAGUCGAGCGAGCGGCGGACGGGUGUGUAAUGUAUGGGGACUGCCCGAUAGAGGGGGAACCCUACUGGAAACGGUGGCUACUCCCGCAUACUAUCGGAUAACCCAUUGGGGAUUAUCGAGUAGGUGGGGUAAAGGCGCACCUAGGCGACGAUCUCUAGCUGGUCUGCGAGGAUGAUCAGCCACACUGGGACUGAGACACGGCCCAGACUCCUACGGAGGCAGCAGUGGGGAAUAUUGCACAAUGGGCGCAAGCCUGAUGCAGCCAUGCCGCGUGUAUGAAGAAGGCCUUAGGGUUGUAAAGUACUUUCAUCGGGGAGGCGGUACUCGCAGAAGAAGCACCGGCUAACUCCGUGCCAGCCGCCGCGGUAAUUC